CAGUCGCCGCGGGAAUACGUAGGGGGCGAGCGUUGUCCGAAGUUACUGGGCGUAAAGAGCGCGUAGGCUGGUCUUUAAGUGAGUGGUGAAAGGUUCGGGCUCAACCCGGACACUGCCUUUCAUACUGGGGACCUUGAGUGUGGGAGAGGCGAGUGGAAUGGUCGGUGUAGCGGUGAAAUGCGUAGAUAUCGAUAGGAACACCCAUGGCGAAGGCAGCUCGCUGGCCUAACACUGACGCUGAGGCGCGAAAGCGUGGGGAGCAAACAGGAUUAGAUACCCGAGUAGUCCCUGUCUCUUAUAC
rnacentral:rRNA from 1 species